GUGAAUCAUCGAAUUUUUGAACGCAAAUUGCACUCUCUUCGGAGAGUAUGCCUGUUUUAGGGUCAGCCUAAAAAAAAAUCGACAUAGUCGCUGUUUCGCGGUGACAUUCGUCGGAAAUUAAGUAGUCUUAAACCUUUUGGUUUUAAGCGGCUUAAAAUUUUCUUUACGAUUUCACGAACGUUUCUAAGCUUUACUUCUUAUACGUUUAAGGUAUCGAUCUUUAUUUGACGGUG
rnacentral:misc_RNA from 1 species